rnacentral:rRNA from 1 species
CCUACGGGAGGCAGCAGUGGGGAAUAUUGGACAAUGGGGGCAACCCUGAUCCAGCCAUGCCGCGUGUGUGAAGAAGGCCCUCGGGUUGUAAAGCACUUUCAGUGAGGAAGAACGCCUGGUGGUUAAUACCCAUCAGGAAAGACAUCACUCACAGAAGAAGCACCGGCUAACUCCGUGCCAGCAGCCGCGGUAAUACGGAGGGUGCGAGCGUUAAUCGGAAUUACUGGGCGUAAAGCGCGCGUAGGUGGCUUGAUAAGCCGGUUGUGAAAGCCCCGGGCUCAACCUGGGAACGGCAUCCGGAACUGUCAAGCUAGAGUGCAGGAGAGGAAGGUAGAAUUCCCGGUGUAGCGGUGAAAUGCGUAGAGAUCGGGAGGAAUACCAGUGGCGAAGGCGGCCUUAUGGACUGACACUGACACUGAGGUGAGAAAGCGUGGGUAGCAAACAGGAUGAGAUACCCCUGUAGUC